rnacentral:rRNA from 1 species
CCUACGGGAGGCAGCAGUGAGGAAUAUUGGACAAUGGGCGCAAGCCUGAUCCAGCCAUGCCGCGUGCAGGAUGACGGUCCUAUGGAUUGUAAACUGCUUUUGCACAGGAAGAAACAACGCUACGUGUAGCGUCUUGACGGUACUGUGAGAAUAAGGAUCGGCUAACUCCGUGCCAGCAGCCGCGGUAAUACGGAGGAUCCAAGCGUUAUCCGGAAUCAUUGGGUUUAAAGGGUCCGUAGGCGGUUUAGUAAGUCAGUGGUGAAAGCCCAUCGCUCAACGGUGGAACGGCCAUUGAUACUGCUAGACUUGAAUUAUUAGGAAGUAACUAGAAUAUGUAGUGUAGCGGUGAAAUGCUUAGAGAUUACAUGGAAUACCAAUUGCGAAGGCAGGUUACUACUAAUGGAUUGACGCUGAUGGACGAAAGCGUAGGGUAGCGAACAGGAUUAGAUACCCUGGUAGUCCACGCCGUAAACGAUGGAUACUAGCUGUUGGGAGCGAUCUCAGUGGCUAAGCGAAAGUGAUAAGUAUCCCACCUGGGGAGUACGUUCGCAGAAUGAAACUCAAAGGAAUUGACGGCUUGAGACGNGCGACGGACGACGACGAGGGAGGAGG